GCCAGUUUGGCUCAGUGGAUAGAGUGUUGGCCUAUGGACCAAAGAGUCCCAGGUUCGAUUCCUGUUAAGGGCA
rfam:Myotis brandtii contig258900, whole genome shotgun sequence.